rnacentral:rRNA from 1 species
UCAGCCACUAGAGUAGACAAUCCUGAGUGGCGAGUGGCGAACGGGUGAGUAAUAUAUCGGAACGUGCCCAGUCGUGGGGGAUAACGCAGCGAAAGCUGUGCUAAUACCGCAUACGAUCUACGGAUGAAAGCGGGGGAUCGCAAGACCUCGCGCGAUUGGAGCGGCUGAUAUCAGAUUAGCUAGUUGGUGGGGUAAAGGCCUACCAAGGCGACGAUCUGUAGCUGGUCUGAGAGGACGACCAGCCACACUGGAACUGAGACACGGUCCAGACUCCUACGGGAGGCAGCAGUGGGGAAUUUUGGACAAUGGGCGCAAGCCUGAUCCAGCAAUGCCGCGUGCAGGAUGAAGGCCUUCGGGUUGUAAACUGCUUUUGUACGGAACGAAAAGGUCUUUCUUAAUACGAGAGAUUUAUGACGGUACCGUAAGAAUAAGCACCGGCUAACUACGUGCCAGCAGCCGCGGUAAUACGUAGGGUGCGAGCGUUAAUCGGAAUUACUGGGCGUAAAGCGUGCGCAGGCGGUUUUGUAAGACAGAUGUGAAAUCCCCGGGCUCAACCUGGGACCUGCAUUUGUGAC